GUGGAGGACUUGAAAAGAGUCAGCAACUCCCUCACAGUCUUACUAAGUGAAAAACAGAAACAGGAAAAGCAGCUGAAUAAAGGAAAGAAGAAAAAGAAAGGCGUGGUUCCUGCCGGAGGGAUGAAGUCCAAGAUGAAGGA